GACGAACGCUGGUGGCGUGCUUAACACAUGCAAGUCGAACGAGACGAUUGAAAGCUUGCUUUCAAAAGUCGAGUGGCAAACGGGUGAGUAACGCGUAGACAACCUGCCUUUGAGAUGGGGACAACAGUUUGAAAGGACUGCUAAUACCGAAUGUUGUAUAUUUUCCACAUGGAAGAUAUAUUAAAGAUGGCCUCUAUUUAUAAGCUAUCGCUCAAAGAUGGGUCUGCGUCUGAUUAGCUGGUUGGUGGGGUAACGGCCUACCAAGGCGACGAUCAGUAGCCGUUCUGAGAGGAUGAACGGCCACAUUGGGACUGAGACACGGCCCAGACUCCUACGGGAGGCAGCAGUGGGGAAUCUUCCACAAUGGACGAAAGUCUGAUGGAGCAACGCCGCGUGAGUGAAGAAGGGUUUUGGCUCGUAAAGCUCUGUUGUCGGGGACGAAUGUGCAGUAUUUGAAUAAAGUAGUGUAAUGACGGUACCUGACGAGGAAGCCACGGCUAACUACGUGCCAGCAGCCGCCGUAA
rnacentral:rRNA from 1 species